rnacentral:rRNA from 1 species
GAUGAACGCUAGCGGCAGGCUUAAUACAUGCAAGUCGUGGGGCAGCAGGACGGUAGCAAUACCGUUGCUGGCGACCGGCAAACGGGUGCGGAACACGUACACAACCUUCCUUUAAGUGGGGAAUAGCCCGGGGAAACCCGGAUUAAUACCUCGUAACAUAAUGAAGUGGCAUCACUUUAUUAUUAUAGCAGCAAUGCGCUUGAUGAUGGGUGUGCGCCUGAUUAGGUAGUUGGCGGGGUAACGGCCCACCAAGCCUUCGAUCAGUAACUGGUGUGAGAGCACGACCAGCCACACGGGCACUGAGACACGGGCCCGACUCCUACGGGAGGCAGCAGUAAGGAAUAUUGGUCAAUGGACGCAAGUCUGAACCAGCCAUGCCGCGUGGAGGAUGAAGGUCCUCUGGAUUGUAAACUUCUUUUAUCUGGGAAGAAAUCCAUAUUUUCUAAUGUGGUUGACGGUACCAGACGAAUUAGCACCGGCUAACUCCGUGCCAGC